rnacentral:rRNA from 1 species
AACGUAGGUUCCGAGCGUUAUCCGGAUUUACUGGGCGUAAAGCGCGUUCAGGCGGUUUGACAAGUCGGGCAUGAAAUCUCUCGGCUCAACCGGGAGAGGUUGUCCGAUACUGUCAGACUUGAGGGCAGUAGAGGGUGGUGGAAUUCCGGGUGUAGUGGUGAAAUGCGUAGAUAUCCGGAGGAACACCAGUGGCGAAAGCGGCCACCUGGACUGUACCUGACGCUCAAACGCGAAAGCUAGGGGAGCGAACGGG